UACGGAGGAUGCGAGCGUUAUCCGGAUUUAUUGGGUUUAAAGGGUGCGUAGGCGGAUCGUUAAGUCAGUGGUCAAAUUGAGGGGCUCAACCCCUUCCCGCCAUUGAAACUGGCGAUCUUGAGUGGAAGAGAAGUAUGCGGAAUGCGUGGUGUAGCGGUGAAAUGCAUAGAUAUCACGCAGAGCCCCGAUUGCGAAGGCAGCAUGCCGGCUUCCUACUGACGCUGAAGCACGAAAGCGUGGGGAUCGAACAGG
rnacentral:rRNA from 1 species